rnacentral:tRNA from 1 species
GCUCGAAUAGUGUAGUGGUUAUCACAUCUGCUUUACACGCAGAUGGUCCCAGGUUCGAACCCUGGUUCGAGCA